GUCAGAGAAACAACAAACUUCGUUGCCACUCAGAACAACAAACUACAAUGCCACUCAGAAAACUUCAGCUACAGUCACUGCUACAACAUAAUGAAGGUGCCAUAAAUACCGAGGUUGUGACGGUAUUAAUUAUGAACAAGUGACACUGAUUCAGCUCAGUCCGGUAUUCCUUCAGUAUUAUACAACACACAAGAAUAUAUACCAUGGUAACUGCCGUGGAGAUUAACAACACUUAAAAACGACAUCUCUGGUGGGUUUAGGCUUAGCUAUUAAGAAACAUCAACAUCGUCCACCGAACAUCAGCAGAGUGUCAAGGCUUCACCAGCUGUCGGUUGUCAUAGCAGGAAUACAGAAGUAGUGAGGUAA